rnacentral:lncRNA from 1 species
AAGAAAUUAAUAAUAUUGUUUGAAUGAGACAAAAAUGUCCCAAGGACAAGAAACAUCAAGGGUCAAGCAGUAAUUAUCACAUUGAAAGCUUUUUUGGACCACGUUUUCUUCUUACACAGUUUCACAAUCAUGAAAUUUUAGACAAUUUUUCCAUGCAUGUCGUUUUAUUAUUAUUAUAUAUACACUCAAUUGUGUUUUGAAUAUUUCUUACUGUUACCAGCAGGC